rnacentral:rRNA from 1 species
UACAGAGGGUGCGAGCGUUAAUCGGAAUUACUGGGCGUAAAGCGCACGUAGGCGGCUUUGCAAGUCGGGUGUGAAAUCCCCGGGCUCAACCUGGGAACUGCAUCCGAGACUGCUUUGCUCGAGUAUGGGAGAGGGAAGUGGAAUUUGCCGGUGUAGCGGUGAAAUGCGUAGAUAUCGGAAGGAACAUCAGUGGCGAAGGCGACUUCCUGGACCAAUACUGACGCUCAGGUGCGAAAGCGUGGGGAGCAAACAGG